AAUCUUUUGUCCACACAAAUUUGCAAUACAAAUAAAGGCAUGGUAUCUCUUAUACAACUAAAACAAAUUUGUCUUAAACAUGAUCUAUUAUUCAUCUUGAGUUUUUGGUCCAAAAAAAUUAGAGUGGACCUAUUUUGAACACUUUUUAUUUAUUUUUCAUAUACUAUUCAAAUGAUUCUAAACAAGCAAAUGAUUAUAAAAAUAUAGUGUUAACAACUUAUCUUCUAAGUAACUAAUGUUUUUUGGUCAAAUUUACAAGCCAAUGUUUAAGAUAAGUAUGGGAGGGUCAUGACUUUUUGUCAACAAUUAAUACAUAUUAAUACAAAUAAAAAAUUAGCAUUGAUUGAUUGAUUGUUGUUUGCUUUAAGCCGCAUUAGCACAAAAAGUCUAUAUCGCGAUGAGAGCUAAUUCCUUUUAAAAUUGUUAAAGCAUAAAAAUAUAGUAUAUAUACCAAUACACAUAAUUAACAUUGAGAUAAGGCUAUGAAACAUCACCAGGCGCUGUUAAUUAUGUGUAUUGGUAUAUAUACUUUAUUUUUAUGCUUUUACAUUUUUCUCACUGAUACACAUAGUUAAUAUGGCUUCUACUAACGAAAGCUCCAUUUGGAGUUAAUGUGUUUAGAGACUUCUUAUGUCAGUACACCUUUCCUAUAUUAUCCUUUUAAAAUUGUUAUACGAUGAUGACUGAUGUACCCAUAUUUUGACUAUUUUAUUUAUUGUGUCUGUUUAGUUAUCGCAUCAAUGUAAAUAUAACUGAAUUUGAUGAGACUGUCAUCAAAGUGAGAGGGUUAGCGCUAUAAAACCAGGUUUAAUCCACCAUUUUCUACAUUUGAAAAUGCCUGUACCAAGUCAGGAAUAUGACAGUUCUUGUCCAUUCAUUUUGAUGUGUUUUGUUAUUUGAUUUUGCCAUGUGAUUAUGGACUUUUCGAAUUGAUUUUUCUCUAAGUUCAGUAUUUUUGUGAUUUUACUUUUUUUCAAUAUUUUAAAAAUUUAAGGUAUAUUUUUUAAUCAGACAAUGAGCAAGGAACUAAAAAAACAACCUGUAAUGAAUCACAAGUUAGCUG
rnacentral:lncRNA from 1 species